rnacentral:rRNA from 1 species
UACGUAGGGUGCGAGCGUUAAUCGGAAUUACUGGGCGUAAAGAGUGCGUAGGCGGUUCGCUGUGUCCGAUGUGAAAGCCCCGGGCUCAACCUGGGAAUGGCAUGGGAAACUGGCGAGCUUGAGUGUGGCAGAGGGGGGUGGAAUUCCGCGUGUAGCAGUGAAAGGCGUAGAGAUGCGGAGGAACACCGAUGGCGAAGGCAGCCCCCUGGGCCAACACUGACGCUCAGGCACGAAAGCGUGGGGAGCAAACAGG